rnacentral:rRNA from 1 species
GUAGGUGGCAAGCGUUGUCCGGAAUUAUUGGGCGUAAAGCGCGCGCAGGCGGUUCUUUAAGUCUGGUGUGAAAGCCCACGGCUCAACCGUGGAGGUCAUUGGAAACUGGAGAACUUGAGUACAGAAGAGGAAAGCGGAAUUCCACGUGUAGCGGUGAAAUGCGUAGAGAUGUGGAGGAACACCAGUGGCGAAGGCGGCUUUCUGGUCUGUAACUGACGCUGAGGCGCGAAAGCGUGGGGAGCAAACAGGAUUAGAUACCCUGGUAGUCCACGCCGUAAACGAUGAGUGCUAAGUGUUAGGGGUUUCCGCCCCUUAGUGCUGCAGCUAACGCAUUAAGCACUCCGCCUGGGGAGUACGGCCGCAAAGGCUG